rnacentral:misc_RNA from 1 species
UUAACUAUUAUAUAGUACUCAGACAUCACUAAAAACAAGAGUUGUGGUCCUCUGGCAGGCACUCAGCAGCCGAAGCCACUGGAAAUGGGGCCCGCCAAAGCAACAAAGGUAUGUUAUUCAAGGGUGGAGAUCUACCCGUGAGGGCAUGAUACUCUGUAAUGAUCCUUCCGCAGGUUCACCUACGGAAA